rnacentral:rRNA from 1 species
GGCCUGUUGAGUAUAAUUUAAGGUCUAACCUGCCCACUGAGGAAUUAAAUGGCCGCGGUAUUUUGACCGUGCAAAGGUAGCAUAAUCAUUAGUUUUUUAAUUGAAAGCUUGGAUGAAAGGUUUGAUGAGGAAAGUUCUGUCUCUAUAAAAUUUUAUUAGAAUUUUAUUUUUAAGUUAAAAAGCUUAAAUUUCAAUAGAAGACGAGAAGACCCUAUAGAGUUUUAUAUUUAAAUGAAACAAUUAAAUUUAAGGUAUUAAAAAUUUUGGUUUUAUUUAUGUAUUUUGUUGGGGUGACAGAAAAAUUGAUUAAACUUUUUUUGAUAAAAACAUUGAUGUAUGAAUAAAUGAUCCUAAAAUUUGGACUAAAAGAUUAAAUUACCUUAGGGAUAACAGCGUAAUUUUUUUUAGAGUUCUUAUCGAAAGAAAAGAUUGCGACCUCGAUGUUGGAUUAAAAUUAAUUAUUGGUGUAGAGGCUAAUAUAUUGGGUCUGUUCGACCUUUGAAAUUUUACAUGAUCUGAGUUUAGACCGGCGUGAG